GACGAACCGAGCGAACGUUGUUCGGAAUCACUGGGCUUAAAGGGCGCGUAGGCGGGUGCUCAAGUCCGGGGUGAAAGCCCCCAGCUCAACUGGGGAAGUGCCUCGGAUACUGGUCGCCUCGAGGGAGAUAGGGGCGUGCGGAACUUCCGGUGGAGCGGUGAAAUGCGUAGAUAUCGGAAGGAACACCAGUGGCGAAAGCGGCGCGCUGGAUCUCUUCUGACGCUGAGGCGCGAAAGCCAGGGGAGCGAACGGG
rnacentral:rRNA from 1 species